CUUUUGAACAAAGGAGCUGCUGCCGAUUGUUCUAACCAGAAAAUUUCGAUUUCCGGCGUGUAUCGCAGCUGGGAAGUAGCAUUUUCUAAAUCUCAGCUAUAACUCUGCUCUUCACUGUUAAAAAAAAAGAAAUUCGUUAAUUUUAGUAUUGAUCAAUUAAAUAGAUAAAUGUUCGAAGACUUAUAUGUAUACAUUCGUCUGUGAACUCCGCAGUUAUAGAAUUUGUAUACUUUUAAGUUGUGUAUUAUUAUAGAUGGAAUAAUUCUGUGAGUCUGUAUUAUAAAUAUAGUGUAUUGUAAGAAGGGAAAUUCGUAAAUGUUAAGAUGUUAUAAAUUUGGGCCGAAUGUUUAAAAUUA